rnacentral:rRNA from 1 species
AAGAGUUAUUGUUAUUGCAUAACAUUUUAAGAAAAUAAAUCAUAGGUUAUGGUAAAUAGAAUACUAGGGUUAAAAAAAAAAUAGAAGUUUUAUCGUUACAAGAUAAAUUUGAUUAUUUUUGGAUUCGAUAUGUCAUCCUAGUGGAUAUCUGUCUAAAUUGAAUUUUAUUAGAAAGUUAUAGAAAUGACAGUGGAUUAUUAAUUUAGUAUUAUUAAAAUUUUAUUAGUGUUUAAGAAAGUAGGUGUUUGUUUUAUUAAGAGUCACAAAUUAUUGUGGUAUAAAAAGUUUAAAAUUUAGUAGAUUUUAUAAAAAAAUAUGUAGAGCGGGAAAAUUUUUAAUAUGAACUAGGAAUUAUAUUAAAUGUUUAUUAAAAACUUAUGUUUUUAGUUAAAAUUAUCCCCUGCCCAGUGUUGGUAUAAUAAAUGGCUGUCUUAGCGUGAGGACUUUAAGGUAGCAAAAUCAAUUGUGUUUUUAAUGGAUUCGGGUAUGAACGGGGGUUUGAUAUAUGAUCUUUUUUAAUUAUGUUGAAGUAUUGUAAAUAAUUAAAAAUAAUAUUUUCUAGUUAUACAAAGAUAAGUCUUUAGAAAUUAAGUUUGAAAUUUUAAAGUUUGUGAGAUUUAAAUUUAUUUAGGGCAGAAUGAACUAGGUAGUGGUAUAAGUCUAUUAUUAUUAUUAUUAAUUACUCUAGAGUUAACAGGAAUAUUUAUUAUGAAAAGAUCUUAUUUUUUAGUAAGUUUUACAUCGAUGUUGUAUCUUAGUUUAAACAAGGGCAGGACUUUGUUAUAUUUAGACUGUUCUUCUUGAAAAUUAAACGUGAUAUUAGUUUAAUUCAUCGUAAGAUAGAGUGGUUUAUCUUGAUAAUUAGUAUAGUUUAGUGAGGUUUUAAAGUACGAAAGGAAAUAAGAUGGUGCUUUAAGUUGUAAGGUGUUUAAAUUUGUGUGUAUAUU